rnacentral:rRNA from 1 species
AAGGGCACCACAAGAACGCGUGGAGCAUGUGGCUUAAUUUGACUCAACGCGGGAAAUCUUACCGGGUCCGGACACACUGAGGAUUGACAGGUAUACACACACUAAUCGAAUAAAUAAAAAUUUAUUUUUUUAUUUUUUUUUCGUGACGUGUGUACAAAAUAUGCUAGUCCUUUCAUGAUUAUGUGAUAGGUGGUGCAUGGCCGUUCUUAGUUCGUGGAGUGAUCUGUCUGCUUAAUUGCGUUUCACUUAGGUCUUUUUCUAUUUUAUAGAAACGGGUACUGCGGCCGAAUAGUGCUUAUUGACCCCUUGCAAUUUAUUUUGUGAGUGAGUGUCUUUAAGUAUUGCAUUCGCUUACCCUAUAAAGACCUGAAAGCAACGAACGUGACCGCAACCUCUUGUUGCCUUUAAAUUUUAAUAUUUUUAUGCGGUGGGGCAUUAAUUUGUUUUACCCAUAAAAUAAAAAUAAAAAGGCUUUUACUUACUAACUAGAGGGACCGCUGUUACUUUCUUAAACCAGAGGAAGGUUGCGGCAAUAACAGGUCUGUGAUGCCCUUAGAUGUUCCGGGCUGCACACGUGCUACAAUGAUUAUUGCAGUGAGCAUCUCAUUUAUACACACCGCUGUGCGAUCCAAUUAUUACGCAUAAAAUUAUUUUUUUUUUUAAUUAAAUAAAAUAUUUUAUUGUCGUUAAAUAAUUGUGUAUCUGCACGCGGUAAAGCCUACUUCGAAAGUAAGUGGGUAAUCAAUUAGAAGUAAUGAUUUCCUGUAUUUUAUUAUACAGUGCACAACAAUAUAUGGCAUUGUUACCCAGAUUGGACUUGUCUCUAAUCAUUGUGUGUAACGAUGGAAAUUUGCUUUUUACCAGGCAUAUUUCUUUACCGUAUGUGCAAUUGUCAAUUCAUGGUGGGGACAGACCAUUGUUAAUUGUUGGUCUCGGUCUUAACUAGGAAUGCCUUGUACGGGUCUUUGGUUCAACAAACCACCCGGAAUACGUCCCUGCCCUUUGUACACACCGCCCGUCGCUCUUACCGAUGAACUUCUCUGUGAGUUUAAUGGACUGGUAAUUUUUUUUACUACGGAAAAUUAAACGAACAGUGUGGUUUAAAGGAAAGAGAAGUCGAACAAGGC